CAGCCGCCGCGGUAAUACGAAGGGGGCUAGCGUUGUUCGGAAUUGCUGGGCGUAAAGGGCGCGUAGGCGGCCAUUCAAGUUAGAUGUGAAAGCCCUGGGCUCAACCUAGGAAUUGCAUUUGAUACUGUUUGGCUUGAGUUCGGGAGAGGUGAGUGGAAUUCCCAGUGUAGAGGUGAAAUUCGUAGAUAUUGGGAAGAACACCGGUGGCGAAGGCGGCGACCUGGUCCUUGACUGACGCUGAGGCGCGAAAGCGUGGGGAGCAAACAGGAUUAGAUACCCGCGUAGUCCCUGUCUCUUAUAC
rnacentral:rRNA from 1 species